GCCACGGUGGUCUAGCGGUUAGAACGCUGGCCUUGUAAUCCUGGAGUCUCGGGUUCGAUUCCCGGCGGUGCUC
rnacentral:tRNA from 1 species